UGCGCGGGCUGAGGAACCUUUAUGCUGGGAGGAUGCAGCUGCUGCUACCCGACGCGCUGCUGUGGCUGCAGGACAUGCGGGCUGACAUCAAACUGCAGGCCAUACAUCUGCUGCAGGACAUUGCGGCACAGCACCCCGCCAGCAUCCGAGGUGUGCUCAGCCAGCUGGCCGUGCAGCUGCUGUCCUGCUUCAAUGAGGACAACGCAGAGGUGCGCUGGCGCUCCAUGGAGCUCUUUGCGCUGCUGCUGGAGGCACCAGGCAGGAAGCGGCUGCUGCUGCAGGCGGAGAGGAGUCUGCUGCCACUCUUCAUCCACAUGAAUGAGGACAUCCCCAACGUGGCGCAGGCUGCUCAGAAAGCUCUGAUCCAC
ensembl:lncRNA